CUUCGUGUAUGAGUGCUUGAAUUAAAAGAAAGUAAUGUGGCUAUGCUUGUGGGAUAGAUCAGCAUUGCCAUGAUCUGAAGGGCAAGGAUUUGUGUGUGUCCUCCUUCUAUAUGAAAUGGCUAAACAGAAAAAA